rnacentral:rRNA from 1 species
GUGCCAGCCGCCGCGGUAAUACAGAGGGUACAAACGUUGUUCGGAAUCACUGGGCUUAAAGCGCACGUAGGUGGUUCGGUAAGUGCGAUGUGAAAGCCCCCGGCCCAACCGGGGAACUGCAUCGCAGACUGCCGAGCUUGAGAGCGGUAGGGGAGACUAGAACUCCUGGUGGAGCGGUGAAAUGCGUAGAUAUCAGGAGGAAUACCGGUGGCGAAGGCGAGUCUCUGGUCCGCUUCUGACACUUAGGUGCGAAAGCUAGGGGAGCAAACGGGAUUAGAUACCCCCGUAGUCC